GAUGAACGCUAGCUACAGGCUUAACACAUGCAAGUCGAGGGGCAGCAUGGUCUUAGCUUGCUAAGGCCGAUGGCGACCGGCGCACGGGUGAGUAACACGUAUCCAACCUGCCGUCUACUCUUGGACAGCCUUCUGAAAGGAAGAUUAAUACAAGAUGGCAUCAUGAGUCCGCAUGUUCACAUGAUUAAAGGUAUUCCGGUAGACGAUGGGGAUGCGUUCCAUUAGAUAGUAGGCGGGGUAACGGCCCACCUAGUCUUCGAUGGAUAGGGGUUCUGAGAGGAAGGUCCCCCACAUUGGAACUGAGACACGGUCCAAACUUCUACGGGAGGCAGCAGUGAGGAAUAUUGGUCAAUGGGCGCAGGCCUGAACCAGCCAAGUAGCGUGAAGGAUGACUGCCCUAUGGGUUGUAAACUUCUUUUAUAAAGGAAUAAAGUCGGGUAUGUAUACCCGUUUGCAUGUACUUUAUGAAUAAGGAUCGGCUAACUCCGUG
rnacentral:rRNA from 1 species